UGCGCAGACGGAUCAAUAAGUCGGGGGUUAAAUCCAUGUGCUUAACACAUGCACGGCUUCCGAUACUGUUGAUCUAGAGUCUCGAAGAGGAAGGUGGAAUUUCCGGUGUAACGGUGGAAUGUGUAGAUAUCGGAAAGAACACCAGUGGCGAAGGCAGCCUUCUGGUCGAGUACUGACGCUCAUGCACGAAAGCGUGGGGAGCAAACA
rnacentral:rRNA from 1 species